AUUCCGGUUGAUCCUGCCGGAGGCCAUUGCUAUUGGGAUCCGAUUUAGCCAUGCUAGUCGCACGAGUUCAGACUCGUGGCGAAUAGCUCAGUAACACGUGGCCAAACUACCCUUCGGAACACAAU
rnacentral:rRNA from 1 species